CUCCUACGGGAGGCAGCAGUAGGGAAUCUUCCGCAAUGGGCGAAAGCCUGACGGAGCAAUGCCGCGUGAGUGACGAAGGUUUUCGGAUCGUAAAGCUCUGUUGCCAGGGAAGAACGCUUGGGAGAGUAACUGCUCUCAAGGUGACGGUACCUGAGAAGAAAGCCCCGGCUAACUACGUGCCAGCAGCCGCGGUAAUACGUAGGGGGCAAGCGUUGUCCGGAAUUAUUGGGCGUAAAGCGCGCGCAGGCGGUCAUUUAAGUCUGGUGUUUAAUCCCGGGGCUCAACCCCGGAUCGCACUGGAAACUGGGUGACUUGAGUGCAGAAGAGGAGAGUGGAAUUCCACGUGUAGCGGUGAAAUGCGUAGAUAUGUGGAGGAACACCAGUGGCGAAGGCGACUCUCUGGGCUGUAACUGACGCUGAGGCGCGAAAGCGUGGGGAGCAAACAGGAUUAGAUACCCUGGUAGUCCACGCCGUAAACGAUGAGUGCUAGGUGUUAGGGGUUUCGAUACCCUUGGUGCCGAAGUUAACACAUUAAGCACUCCGCCUGGGGAGUACGGUCGCAAGACUGAAACUCAAAGGGAUCGACGGGGACCCGCACAAGCAGUGGAGUAUGUGGUUUAAUUCGAAGCAACGCGAAGAACCUUACCAGGUCUUGACAUCCCUCUGACCGGUACAGAGAUGUACCUUUCCUUCGGGACAGAGGAGACAGGUGGUGCAUGGUUGUCGUCAGCUCGUGUCGUGAGAUGUUGGGUUAAGUCCCGCAACGAGCGCAACCCUUAUAUUUAGUUGCCAGCACUUCGGGUGGGCACUCUAGAUAGACUGCCGGUGACAAACCGGAGGAAGGUGGGGAUGACGUCAAAUCAUCAUGCCCCUUAUGACCUGGGCUACACACGUACUACAAUGGCCGGUACAACGGGCUGCGAAAUCGCGAGAUGGAGCCAAUCCCAACAAAGCCGGUCUCAGUUCGGAUUGCAGGCUGCAACUCGCCUGCAUGAAGUCGGAAUUGCUAGUAAUCGCGGAUCAGCAUGCCGCGGUGAAUACGUUCCCGGGUCUUGCACACACCGCCCGU
rnacentral:rRNA from 1 species